AAAUUAUCAGGAAAUUUUUAUUUGAAAGUGGACUAAUCCUUUAAGGAGCGGCUCCUUUAAGGCUUCUCAAUAAACGACCACUUUUAUGAUUGGCUAAUUUCAAACAGUAUCAACGGCCACUUGAUAUUGCAGGCCAGCAGUCUACUUUACAUCAUCAUGUCGAGCAGACUUCAUUUGACCAAGAGGUGGCAGUGUAGCUCUCGGGAUCCCACAUAGCAAACCCUUGUGUCACUGAGCCUCUCCUUUGUGUCUCUGAGAGAUUAAGCAGUUCGAUUGGUGGAAUGAUUUGAUUAAAGAAGACUCUUUGGAGUUAAAGUAGGGUUUUCAAAUCUGGACGUGGCUGUCAACAUUAGCUUGUGCUUUAAAUAAAGAGUGAAAAAAUAACUUUCACAUCAAAGUUGGCUAUUUUCAGUUAUUGUGAGCUUACCGUAUAUACAGGUUGAUUUCAAUG